rnacentral:rRNA from 1 species
CCAGGAUCAUUGGGUUUAAAGGGUGCGUAGGCGGUUUUUUAAGUCAGUGGUGAAAUCCUGCGGCUCAACCGUAGAACUGCCAUUGAAACUGAAGAACUUGAAUAUAGUUGAGGUAGGCGGAAUGUGCAGUGUAGCGGUGAAAUGCUUAGAUAUUGCACAGAACACCGAUUGCGAAGGCAGCUUACCAAGCUAUUAUUGACGCUGAGGCACGAAAGCGUGGGGAUCGAACAGGAUUAGAUACCCUGGUAGUCCACGCCCUUAAACGAUGUUCACUCGCUGUUUGCGAUAUACCGUAAGCGGCCAAGCGAAAGCAUUAAGUGAACCACCUGGGGAGUACGUCGGCAACGGUGAAACUCAAAGGAAUUGACGGGGGCCCGCACAAGCGGAGGAACAUGUGGUUUAAUUCGAUGAUACGCGAGGAACCUUACCUGGGCUUAAAUGUAGGCUGCAUUCCGCUGAAAGGUGGAUUUCCGCAAGGACUGCUUACAAGGUGCUGCAUGGUUGUCGUCAGCUCGUGCCGUGAGGUGUCGGGUUAAGUCCCAUAACGAGCGCAACCCCUACCGUUAGUUGCCAUCAGGUCAUGCUGGGAACUCUAGCGGGACUGCCACCGUAAGGUGAGAGGAAGGUGGGGAUGACGUCAAAUCAGCACGGCCCUUAUGUCCAGGGCUACACACGUGUUACAAUGGCAGGUACAAAGGGCAGCUACACCGCGAGGUGAUGCUAAUCUCUAAAGCCUGUCUCAGUUCGGAUCGCAGUCUGAAACCCGACUGCGUGAAGUUGGAUUCGCUAGUAAUCGCGCAUCAGC